rnacentral:rRNA from 1 species
UACGUAGGGGGCAAGCGUUGUCCGGAAUCAUUGGGCGUAAAGAGCGUGUAGGCGGCUUGGUAAGUCCGCUGUGAAAGUCCAGGGCUCAACCCUGGAAUGCCGGUGGAAACUGUCAAGCUUGAGUCCGGAAGAGGCGAGUGGAAUUCCUGGUGUAGCGGUGAAAUGCGCAGAUAUCAGGAGGAACGCCAACGGCGAAAGCACUCUGCUGGGCCGAACACUGACACUGAGAGACGAAAGCUAGGGGAGCGAAUGGG